rnacentral:rRNA from 1 species
UAUUAGAACGCUGGCGGCAUGCCUUACACAUGCAAGUCGAACGGCAGCACGGGACUCGGGCAACUGAGCCCUGGUGGCGAGUGGCGAACGGGUGAGUAAUGCAUCGGAACGUGCCCAGUAGUGGGGGAUAACUAGUCGAAAGAUUAGCUAAUACCGCAUACGACCUAUGGGUGAAAGCGGGGGAUUUUCGGGCAACCGAGAACCUCGCGCUAUCGGAGCGGCCGAUGUCGAUUAGCUAGUUGGCGGGUAAAGCCCACCAAGGCUUCGAUCAGUAGCUGGUCUGAGAGGACGACCAGCCACACUGGGACUGAGACACGGCCCAGACUCCUACGGAGGCAGCAGUGGGAAUUUUGGACAAUGGGCGCAAGCCUGAUCCAGCCAUG